UCUCUGUGCCGCCGCUGGAGCUCCUCUCGUAGCUCCUCCGGUGACCAAAACAACGGCGCCGCCACCCAAGUAUUGCCCAUGCUCGGGCACGUGGAGACUCGCCCACGCUGCACACUCGCCGGUGGUGCUCGUGCUCGUGCUGUGCUGCUGUUCUUCGUGAUGCUGCUGAUCAUGUCUCAAGAAGAAGGUAAAAUUUGUUGAAAAGGAAGAAGCUCAUUCAUUAUUUCACCAAAUGAAAGCUGGGGAAGGAACGAAGCGGAGAUUGUACUCAUUAGAGUAGUUUCUGUUGAAGAUCUCCAACAUCAUCCUCUUGAUCUUCGCCAUUCCAUCAUCCAUGUCUCUUUGUCUUGGGUUUUGUCUGCAAUAUUGCCCAACUAGAAAGAUAAUGGCAGAAACUGAAUAAAACAGCAACAAGACCAUUAGGUAUCUUCUUGUCAAAACAUGUAGAGUUCCUGGCUUUCCGGAUGGUCCAACAUAAUGGUGUCCCACCAACCAAGACCAUUUUUCUGUGAUCUUGUGGAAAGAGGUUUAGCGAGGGGCCAACUAAAUCAUCAAUGUCUUCAGGGGGACUGACUACACUGAAUCGUGUGUAGCAAACAAUAUAAGCAUCAAGUCUUGAGAUGUUGACAAAA